GACGAACGCUGGCGGCGUGCUUAACGCAUGCAAGUCGAACGGAAAGGCCCUGCUUUUGUGGGGUGCUCGAGUGGCGAACGGGUGAGUAACACGUGAGUAACCUGCCCUUGACUUUGGGAUAACUUCAGGAAACUGGGGCUAAUACCGGAUAGGAGCUCCUGCUGCAUGGUGGGGGUUGGAAAGUUUCGGCGGUUGGGGAUGGACUCGCGGCUUAUCAGCUUGUUGGUGGGGUAGUGGCUUACCAAGGCUUUGACGGGUAGCCGGCCUGAGAGGGUGACCGGCCACAUUGGGACUGAGAUACGGCCCAGACUCCUACGGGAGGCAGCAGUGGGGAAUAUUGCACAAUGGGCGGAAGCCUGAUGCAGCAACGCCGCGUGCGGGAUGACGGCCUUCGGGUUGUAAACCGCCUUCGCCUGUGACGAAGCGUGAGUGACGGUACUGGGUAAAGAAGCACCGGCUAACUACGUG
rnacentral:rRNA from 1 species